rnacentral:rRNA from 1 species
UACGGAGGGUGCAAGCGUUAUCCGGAUUCACUGGGCUUAAAGGGUGCGUAGGAGGGUAGGUAAGUCAGUGGUGAAAUCUCCAAGCUUAACUUGGAAACUGCCGUUGAUACUAUCUGUCUUGAAUACCGUGGAGGUGAGCGGAAUAUGUCAUGUAGCGGUGAAAUGCUUAGAUAUGACAUAGAACACCAAUUGCGAAGGCAGCUCGCUACACGAAUAUUGACUCUGAGGCACGAAAGCGUGGGGAGCAAACAGG